UUGGUCAAAGUGCUCCAGAUUCAAGUAAAAGGCAAAAAGCAAAGGUUUUGAGCACUUAGUCCAGUGAGGACAGUGUGGGCCAGGAGUCGGCCUGACAGUGACAGCCCUCAGCCAGGCCGACGCCACAGCAACGCCGGCAGGAGGGAGCGUCCAGACUCCCCCGGCUCACUUUGCCGUGGGGCCUGCACACCCACGCACGCGUGCGUGGGCCUUCGUGAGGCUUCCAUACUAAGCCAGGAGAGAGAAGGUGACUAAGCUGUGAAGAAAUCAACUGUGCAAACUCCCAUCGCCUACUGAGUCGGCUUGGAAGUCAUUUUGUUUGUGGCAGCCAGAGGCAGCGCAAAAGAAAAGAAGUAAAGUUCCAGACUUUAGAAGGAACCCAACAACAACAAUUAUAAUAACAACACACAGUUUUCCCAAGGCUUCUUGCUACCUGAAGGUGAGCCUGAGCCUGAUCCAACAGUGCACACCUGGCCGUGUCACAUCCAGUAAAUAUUUAUGGCUGGUCACAGGGGAAACUGGCAAAAAUUUUUGUCAGAUCAGAUGAGCUUUAUGGAUGCAAAUGAACACAGACAAUCGCCUUCCAUGUCUUGUUUGAAGCCAACCUCAUCCUUGAGGAACAGAAUAAAGUGCUCUUGCCCCUUGGCCCACAGCACUUCUCUCACGGAGCCGCGCAGAGUUUGCACAGAUCCCACCGCGAUGCUUACUCCCUCUGGAUUAUGAUUACUGACUCCUUCAUCUGCCUUACCCGUUCCAUAUCCUCACAAAAAGAAAUAAAAAUUUUUUUUAAAGUCUUCCUUAGCACUCAGCACCUA